GGCUGGUCCGAUGGUAGUGGGUUAUCAGAACUUACUAACAUUAGUGUCACUAAAGUUGGUAUUCAACCCCCCACUGCUAAAUUUGACUGGCUUUAA
rnacentral:Y_RNA from 1 species